GUGCUUGUUUCGGCAGCACAUGUACUGAAACUGGAACGAUACAGAGAAGAUUAGCAGGGCUCCCGUGUAAGGAUGACACACAAAUUCAUGAUGUUUUCCAUAUAAAA